rnacentral:rRNA from 1 species
CCCUUAGAUGUUCUGGGCCGCACGCGCGCUACACUGACGAAUGCAACGAGCUUAUAACCUUGGCCGAAAGGUCUGGGUAAUCUCCAAAUUUCGUCGUGAUGGGGAUAGAUUAUUGCAAUUAUUAAUCUUCAACGAGGAAUGCCUAGUAAGCGCAAGUCAUCAGCUUGCGUAGAUUACGUCCCUGCCCUUUGUACACACCGCCCGUCGCUCCUACCGAUUGAAUGGUCCGGUGAAGCGUUCGGACCGUGGCCUUUGGACGGUUCGCCGUCUGUUGGCUGCGGGAAGUUCGUUAAACCUUAUCAUUUAGAGGAAGGAGAAGUCGUAACA